rnacentral:lncRNA from 1 species
CUGUUGGGAAGUAGGGGGAGGGCAAGGUUAAAACCUAUGCAGGUGUGUCAAUUAGACUUGUUCCAACUUGAGAACCUGAAUUUUGCAUGUAAUUGAAAUGUUCCAGAACAAGUCUGGCAGUUUCAUAAGGGAGUUUUUAGAUGCCAAUACAUUGCAGAUAACCAUAUUGGCUACAUUAGGGGAAUGAGCAUGGAUAGGUGCCUCCAAGUUGGUAGAAUAGCAUGAGAAGUUUUCAAAAGUAACCGCUUUAAGGUUAUGUUCAGUAUUUGCUAAGUAAACAAAGAUUCCCCAACCUUGAGGGAGCUUGUGGACCAAGGGGAUAGUGUUGUCCUGCCCAGCCUAGGGGAAAAGUAUCCUGAAGGUUAAUAAGGUGGUGGAGGAACAUUAGGCCACAGGGAGCAGAGGGAAAGCAUAACAGCAGGGGAUGAUAAGGGUGAUUAUAGUUUAGAAAGCAUGAAAGUAUGACUUAAGGAAAUGUCUUUAGGUUGAACAUUCUGUAUAUAACCUGCCUUUCUAAAGUUUCAAAGGGGAUGGAUACCCAUCAGGGGCAAAGAUCCAAAUCCUGAGGGUAGAAUGAGGAGGAUGUAUACUAAAGUCUUUUGGCUAAAAGGACAUUGAUAGCCCAUUUUUAGAAUGGCUACAGUUGCAACCCAACUCUACCCCACUGAACAGCUUUUAUUACCAGUAUUUACAUGACCACUUUUUCUUUACACCUCACCCUACC